UUAUUGAAUACAAUUCAAAUCAAGACAAAGAUUACUAAUUCAGUGGUGAUAUUUAAGUGGCCCUGGACCCUCUGUAGUGGAAAAGGGUAAGAACCCCUGAGGUAUAACAUGGUCAAGUUGACUUUUUGUUUCAUAUUGCAUACAGGCGCACCUUGAUGAGCAUGAACUUGUUCAUGGGCUGGUACCACUGCAACAGCAUCACACUGGACUCCAGCGCACAGCACAGGAAGUCGUCAACUGCAAGGAGGAACACAGGCGGUGAAACAUAACGACGUUCCCAUUUGUGGUUUUGUCUGCAAUGUGUGCUUUGUCCGUCAGGUUUGCGGUCACAUGUUUCACUGCACCAGCUUGGGCGGUUGGGUUCCUGCUUCAAGAUAGUAAUGCUGGAAAACUGAGAAAACCGCAGCCCAUUGAACGCUUUAGCGGAAAAGGAAACGAGCUGACAAACAGUGGAGGCCAGCGAGGGAAAGGCAUAAAUGGCAGCGGUGGGAUUUGAACCCACGCCUCCGAAGAGACUGGAGCCUUAAUCCAGCGCCUUAGACCGCUCGGCCACGCUACCCUGCAGAAGUGGACAACUAUGUGGAGAUUGUGGAGUGCUGAACCCGGAACAAGGUGAACGCAACAGGGGAAAGGCAUAAAUGGCAGCGGUGGGAUUUGAACCCACGCCUCCGAAGAGACUGGAGCCUUAAUCCAGCGCCUUAGACCGCUCGGCCACGCUACCCUGCAGAAGAGAACAGCCAUGUGGAGAUUGUGGAGUGUUGAACAAGGUGAACGCAACAGGGCCUCUGAGAGUAGAUCUGCUCCACUGCAACGUCCACAAUGUCCAUGUUUACAGGUUCCCCAUCCGACCCUCAUCAGGAUCUCAAAGUCCUCCUGGGGGUUCCUGGUGGAGAAAUCCUGUGUGGCUCCAUGUUGGACAUCCAUGCUGAAGAGCCCUUCACCGCUUGUUGCUGAUCUGGCCCUAAUAAAGUUGUUGGGUGAGGGCGAAACAGAAAAUAAUUGCACCCAGUAUGGCACUGCACUGCACACCGUAUCGUACUGCACGAUGCUUCAGAUCACCCUGCAUUGCACCCUGUAUGGCACUGCACGCUAAAUAUCAGGGAUGGCAGAAUGCGUCCUGAGAUAAAUACUCAUCAAAUGGAAACUGUGGACAAGCACAGCUGCUGCAGCUUCAAAAAGGUCACCUAACUAAAAGACACAAA